UGAACGCUAGCUACAGGCUUAACACAUGCAAGUCGAGGGGCAUCAGGAAGAAAGCUUGCUUUCUUUGCUGGCGACCGGCGCACGGGUGAGUAACACGUAUCCAACCUGCCCUUUACUCGGGGAUAGCCUUUCGAAAGAAAGAUUAAUACCCGAUAGCAUAAUUAUUCCGCAUGGUUUCAUUAUUAAAGGAUUCCGGUAAAGGAUGGGGAUGCGUUCCAUUAGGUUGUUGGUGAGGUAACGGCCCACCAGGCCUUCGAUGGAUAGGGGUUCUGAGAGGAAGGUCCCCCACAUUGGAACUGAGACACGGUCCAAACUCCUACGGGAGGCAGCAGUGAGGAAUAUUGGUCAAUGGGCGCUAGCCUGAACCAGCCAAGUAGCGUGAAGGAUGAAGGCUCUAUGGGUCGUAAACUUCUUUUAUAUAAGAAUAAAGUGCAGUAUGUAUACUGUUUUGUAUGUAUUAUAUGAAUAAGGAUCGGCUAACUCCGUGCCAGCAGCCGCGGUAAUACGGAGGAUCCGAGCGUUAUCCGGAUUUAUUGGGUUUAAAGGGAGCGUAGGUGGACUGGUAAGUCAGUUGUGAAAGUUUGCGGCUCAACCGUAAAAUUGCAGUUGAUACUGUCAGUCUUGAGUACAGUAGAGGUGGGCGGAAUUCGUGGUGUAGCGGUGAAAUGCUUAGAUAUCACGAAGAACUCCGAUUGCGAAGGCAGCUCACUGGACUGCAACUGACACUGAUGCUCGAAAGUGUGGGUAUCAAACAGGAUUAGAUACCCUGGUAGUCCACACAGUAAACGAUGAAUACUCGCUGUUUGCGAUAUACAGUAAGCGGCCAAGCGAAAGCAUUAAGUAUUCCACCUGGGGAGUACGCCGGCAACGGUGAAACUCAAAGGAAUUGACGGGGGCCCGCACAAGCGGAGGAACAUGUGGUUUAAUUCGAUGAUACGCGAGGAACCUUACCCGGGCUUAAAUUGCAGUGGAAUGAUGUGGAAACAUGUCAGUGAGCAAUCACCGCUGUGAAGGUGCUGCAUGGUUGUCGUCAGCUCGUGCCGUGAGGUGUCGGCUUAAGUGCCAUAACGAGCGCAACCCUUAUCUUCAGUUACUAACAGGUCAUGCUGAGGACUCUGGAGAGACUGCCGUCGUAAGAUGUGAGGAAGGCGGGGAUGACGUCAAAUCAGCACGGCCCUUACGUCCGGGGCUACACACGUGUUACAAUGGGGGGUACAGAAGGCAGCUAGCGGGUGACCGUAUGCUAAUCCCAAAAGCCUCUCUCAGUUCGGAUCGAAGUCUGCAACCCGACUUCGUGAAGCUGGAUUCGCUAGUAAUCGCGCAUCAGCCACGGCGCGGUGAAUACGUUCCCGGGCCUUGUACACACCGCCCGUCAAGCCAUGGGAGCCGGGGGUACCUGAAGUACGUAACCGCAAGGAUCGUCCUAGGGUAAAACUGGUGACUGGGGC
rnacentral:rRNA from 1 species